GGAAUUUUACAUGUUGUCCUUUGGCAUGAGUAAAUACUAAACAUGCUAUUACGUAGAUACUUAUUUUGGAAAACUAGCACGAAUUUGAUUAUUUCAAAACUUAAAAUCAACCAUUAUUUCACCUGAUUUUAUCUGAUUCGAGGGAGUCGAAUACCUAACCUCUUUUUUUUCUCAAAGUAGAAGAGCGCUAAUUUCCGAUCACGUGGUCGAACAAUUCUCCCGAAGAAUAUUUUCAACCGGUCCUGAUGGGAGAAAGUCUGUUCCAUUGUUGGAGAAUUUUAAAGAUGACAAGGAUAAAAGGAGAGGAUCUGUUUAUCGAUCAGCAGUCAAACAUAUUUUCAAACCGAACUUUCCGACAAUUUAUUACAUCGAUCAGUCUUGGGAAUCUCGAGGAAUCAUAGCUUCCCUGCUCGAAUGGAAAGUCGUCUGCAAAAUGUAUUCCCUCUCCUCGAUACAGUCCAUAUGCAAACGACGAUGCAGUUUGUUUGAAUCUGUUCUAUCCAAACAGCUGCACCGUGUACUCAUUGAAACUAUACACCCACGUAAAUGUAUGUAUGCAUACAGAAUCCCAGAGGUGCGCGGUAGUAUGGAAUCGGGUUUACCCCGGUCGACUCUCUUAUCCAAGAAGGGAAAGGCAAAACACCGUGAGAGGAUACAUAUGUUCGGUGCAAGCGGCCGGUAAUCGAUCAUGGAAAUCCCGUAAAAAGUACCAGGGAUGUCUGGCCCAUCGGUCUCCGAGUGUCAAACGAGAAUUAAUAGUUCGCCAGAGUAAUGUACAAUGUGUACCAGACCGGUUGGUACACGAUGAAUAAAGAUGAGGCCGAUGGACGAAUCGCUUCAUCGAUGUUGAAGAAACAAAGGAGAAAAAAAUGGAGGUGGCAUACAGUGUAGGGAGAAGAAAGACGAGAGGAACAGGGGGCAUAGGAAUAGGUGG